rnacentral:rRNA from 1 species
UACGUAGGGGGCAAGCGUUGUCCGGAUUUAUUGGGCGUAAAGAGCGUGUAGGCGGCCAAGCAGGUCCGCUGUGAAAACUCGAGGCUCAACCUCGAGACGUCGGUGGAAACCGUUUGGCUAGAGUCCGGAAGAGGAGAGUGGAAUUCCCGGUGUAGCGGUGAAAUGCGCAGAUAUCAGGAAGAACACCAAUGGCGAAAGCAGCUCUCUGGGACGGUACUGACGCUGAGACGCGAAAGCGUGGGGAGCGAACAGG